CCUACGGGAGGCAGCAGUAGGGAAUCUUCGGCAAUGGACGGAAGUCUGACCGAGCAACGCCGCGUGAGUGAAGAAGGUUUUCGGAUCGUAAAGCUCUGUUGUAAGAGAAGAACGAGUGUGAGAGUGGAAAGUUUCACACUGUGACGGUAUCUUACCAGAAAGGGACGGCUAACUACGUGC
rnacentral:rRNA from 1 species